rnacentral:rRNA from 1 species
AGAGUUUGAUCCUGGCUCAGAACGAACGCUGGCGGCAGGCUUAACACAUGCAAGUCGAGCGGGCGCUUUCGGGCGUCAGCGGCGGACGGGUUAGUAACGCGUGGGAACGUGCCCUUUGCUCUGGAAUAGCCCUGGGAAACUGGGGGUAAUACCGGAUGUGCCCUGAGGGGGAAAGAUUUAUCGCUGAAGGAUCGGCCCGCGUCUGAUUAGCUAGUUGGUGGGGUAAUGGCCUACCAAGCCGUUGACGGGUAGCUGGUCUGUGGGGACGAUCAGCCAGACUGGGACUGCGACACGGCCCAGACACCUACGGGUGGCAGCAGCGAGGAAUCUUCCACAAUGGGCGCAAGCCCGAUGGAGCAACGCCGCGUGGAGGACGACGGCCUUCGGGUUGUAAACUCCUUUCGGCGGGGACGAAACGGACGGUACCCGCAAAAGCAGCCCCGGCUAACUCUGUGCCAGCAGCCGCGGUAAUACAGAGGGGGCAAGCGUUGUCCGGAUUUACUGGGCGUACAGCGCGCGCAGGCGGAUGGUGACGUGCCGUGUGACAAGCCCCAGCUCAACUGGGGAGGGCCAUGGUAGACGCACGGUCUGGAGGCAGGGAGAGGGAUGUGGAAUACCCGGUGGAGCGGUGAAAUGCGUAGAGAUCGGGUGGAACACCAGCGGCGAAGGCGGCAUCCUGGUCCUGACCUGACGCUGAGGCGCGAAAGCGUGGGGAGCAAACAGGAUUAGAUACCCCGGUAGUCC